CGUUAUUUUAAUACACCUUUUGACAGUACAAAAUGUCUUGUGUAUUGGUCGAAUACCAAUUCAACCCUUCCAGUACUAAUAAUUCAUGUGUGAUAAUAAAAUACGCAAAAGAAGCGAACAGCACAAGAGAUGAGAUAAGAGCCGCACUAGCAGACUUGAAUCCUUUAUCGUUUCCUACUGGACAUAUCACUAUAAAAGAUCUUCAAGAGCCAGUGGAAGUUCUGCAUCGCCUCCACAGAAUCGGAUUCCAAAUACAAUGUUCUCACACAUUUGACAUCAGCCUUUUUACUAUUAUAAGCAGUUCAACUAAACAAACUACUUGGACAUUAGUAAAAUCAUUAUAGUCGAUAUUAGAAGCAUAAAAUGUCUUUAUCAGAAGUCGCUAGAAGAUCAUUGCGUUAUUUUUUCACAAGGCCCGAUAUCUUGCCCACAAAAUUUAGGUUCCUUUAACUACCGGAACAGUCCCAAAUUAACUAAAACGGAGUAAAAUUUCCGCUUAAACCUAUCGGAUCGGACCUGUAGCUAUCUUGAAGUGGGUAUUUUAUGCACUUCUAUGUCAUUUUCAGUUAAAUCAGCAAACAUGGAGGGGAAUAGUGGUCAAAAAACGUCUCUCUCUAGCAUCCGCUAGCGGAUAUAAAUCCUUAAAUUACGUUUUAGUUAUUCAGGGUUCGUUCCGGUAAUCAAAGACUCUUAUUUUUUGCCACUGUCCAAUUAGUUUUCCUGAAAGUGACCUGAAUGUAUAUCAAAUGACCUUCAGUUAUCUACAGUUCCGUUUCGGUAAGUUUGGGUCGAUAUUCUAAUCUACCCUGUUCCGAUAAUUUGGGGGCCACAAAUUUUGCCGUUUCUGUGAUUCAUGGACACAAGUUCAUGCGCAUUUACCGCAAUAAUUUUAAUAUUUUGCUACACUACUGCUGUAUAUUUGAAAUAUUCAUUAUCCAUCUAUUCGUUGAAAAGAUAUGAAUUAUUGAUUCGGAAAACGAAUACGAUUCUGCUCAUUCCUACGUAUGGGGCGCGAUAUUUCAUCUCCAAAGUUCUCUGUUUUUAUAUGAUUCACAGAUUCUGAUAUUUUAUUUCGUCAUGCAAAACCAAUAUACAAUAUGAAAUAAAUAAAAGGCAUAUAACAAAUUA